UGUCUCAUCAUAAGAAAAAUACAAGAAUAAAAAAAAAAAAAAAGACUCCUACUGAAGGAAAAUAAUAUUUUUUUCUUUCUCAGUAGGAGAUUUUCUAUGAGGCCAGCCAGGUAGAAAGAAACCUGUUUUCAAAAUACGAUAACAGCUUUGGAAUGGAGUUCCACUGCUAGUUGUGCUUACUGUCUGAAAAAGGUUUUCAGUCCAUUUGAUGUAACAAUAAUAGUCAAAGUGUGAAUCCUGCACCAGAACUUGAAAUGAUGCAACACACUAAUACAUUUUAAAGGAUAACACAAAGACAGCAAAGUCAAUAACUGCGGCACAGAGACCUCUUACAAUCAUCAAAGACCCAGGGAAAGUCUGGCAAUCCAUUGCCGAUCUGCUGCUGGAGCCUGCUGCAAGGACCUCUCCCGGCUGGCGCUUUUGCUCAGGCUCUGAGAUCAGGGACACAACAGCACAGGAAAUAUGGGUGUUAACAGCCUGAUGUAAGGUUUUGGUGCACAGUGAGUGCAAUGUAGAAGCCUUCCUUCUUCCAUCCUCACCGUCCAGAGCUCAGUAUAACAAACUUUCUACAAGAAAAACAGAGUACAUAACGUCUUCCUCUGUGAUUCCCAGCCUUUACUCUUGCGUGCUUCUGAGUGGGGGAAGCCACUGAGAAGGCAGUGAACCACUUCUUUUCAGUGUAUUGCUGUGACAAACCAGAAUGUCCUCUGCUAUGUCAAUUAAAUCAGUAUAAC